UUUAGUACCAAUUGUCACACCUGUUAUAAACAUACUACUGCUACAUAUUCCAGUUGCCAAAUAUAUAAUAACAACUGCAGUACUCUUUAAAACUGACUUAAGACUGAGAUGGAAAGUGGCUGCAGUGUACUUGCUUUCAGUGAUGUCUGGGCUGGAGUUAUUUGGAGCUGCAGUGGUUGAUUACUGUUUGCGAGGAGGUUCUUAAAAUAAUUGUGGCAAAUGGAGCGAUGUUUGAAGUGUAUAAAAAUGGAAAGCUUUCAUUCCAUCUCUGAGAAGCGUGCCAAGUGAUGAAAAUUAAGGUAAAAAGGAAUUUGUGGAAGAAAUGAAGAGCAUAGACUUCUCUGGAAUGUGAGAGAGGCAGGCGUGUUGGUGUUCCUGCAAUAUUCAGGAAUUUCCUUCUGGGGCUGCAUUUGGCUUGAGGACUACAGCUGCUGCACACAGCAAACCAGGGUGACCAGCAGAUGUCAGCUCUUUGGUUCGGUGCAGGUUUUUUUUAAUAUACUGGUAUUUUGAAACACUCCGCUUUUAAAGCUCUGUGUUAAUGUUCAUAGGGAUAUUAAUGAUUUUGAAAGCUUUAUGAAAGAUGAGUGCAUCUGUGUCCUGCUUAACUAUCAGAUGCAGAAAACCACAGCCCACAGUGACUGGUCCAGAAACAGAAGGGUGAGAAGGUAACCAGAUGUCUGGUACAUGAAUUUGCUUUGGCUUUGUUUUAAUAGAAUUCAUGCUGCAGAAAGGAUGCUUGAAUUCUGCACAUCUUUUAUGUCAAUAAGGGCAGUUUGUCUUCCACCUACCUUAGAUUUGAUUCUUAAGUGUGAAAGGCUAACGUUUGCCAGCAGCUCGGUAUUUGCUUCCACACAGAUACUGUAUAGUGCGCAGUUUGUCUUAUACCGACUUACAUAUCCUUAAGAUGCAGUAUGUGGGAUGAGUCAUAAGCAAACGGCAACACCCUUCAUUUGGUGGGGAUGGGAUCUUUUUAGUGCUGCUUUAGUACAAGUGAAUCAACUCCUGCACUUUCUGUAAUGUCACUGACUGCAAGAAUCAUUACUGGAGUAAAUCAUGACACCUUAAUCUUGCAAAGGUCAGCGUUUCCAUUUUGUACAGCCAAGGAAAACAAGCGUAAUAUAUGAAUUCUUGCUAGUGCAACUUCAUUGUGCCAAGGAGGUUUAGAUCAGACAUAAGGAAGGAUUUUUUUCAUGGAGAGGGUGGCCAAGCACUGGAAUUGGCUGCCCAGGGAAGUGGUGGAGUCCCCAUCCCCAGAGGUAUUUAAGAGAUGAGUGCACGUGGCACCAAGGGAUGUGAUUUAGUGAUGGGACUUGGUAGGUCAGGUGGACGGUUGGGCUUGGUGAUCUUGAAGGUCUUUUUCAACUGAGAUAAUUCUAUGAUUCUGUGAUUCUUUUCUAUGAAUUCAGUAUGGUUUUUUUUUUUCAUUUUCUUGAGCUUCAUUUGAGCCCAUAAGCAAAUAAUUGCAGUGUUACACCUGAAACUUUUGGGCUAGGCAGAAUAUGUUCGUUUUUUUCUCUCUGGUGAGAAGAGAGUUUGUGGGGAAGCACAGAGAGGGCACAACUGUUCUGUAUGAAGAAAACUACAGGGGAAGCCAAAUCAAGUAGAUGAUGGAGACCCAACUUGGAAUAGCAAAUGCUGUUUGGCAAUACUGUAGCAUUCAUGUUAGAGUUUAAAAAAAAAAAAAGUGAACUGCGUGCUCUUAUAGGUCUGCUCACUAUUUAUUGGCCUCUGCUUGGUUAUUCUGAAGAGAAAGUGCUUUUAGCUUUUGUUAUGUAGACUCAUUAAGGACUUCUGCUGUCCUGUGUGAUGUGCCUAAGUGCACCCUAACAAAAUCUUGAGUACUUUGGCUGAAUAAAUGAAAGCUUUCUUUUUUCCACCUCUAGAGAGCUCCCUCGAGCUGCUUCUGUGGAGCAGCCUCGGUAAAACUUUCAGUCCCUACUGAGUGAUUAAGGUUUGAACUUAAACGUUUGAUCCUUUAAUUAUUGCAUUCUGUAGCCUUAUACUACCAAGGAAAUACUUAAUAUUGCACAUGAUUACAAUGCUUUGCUUCCCCAUGCUCUUCUGAGAGGAACAUUUUGCUGCACGCAUUCACUCACUGGUAAGCUGGAAGAGAAGGCACAGACGCAUCCUGACAGCUGAACGGAAUUCCAGUGGACUCACAAUUGCUACCUAGAAAUUCAUAUGUAUCUGAAAUUAAAAAUAUAGGAUUCCAGAACUGGAUUUAUCUAUCCUGUCUAUUAUUUCAGUUGAUUUCAGGCUUGCCUUUUCUUUCCAGUCUCAUCAGGAGGAAAUCGCAGUUGCUGUGGACAGGACUACACAGGUACUUCAUUCCCCCGUAAUUCUGUGUGGCCAUUCCCUGCCUUGUGUCAGUGAUGGGGCCAGUAUGAGGAAGCAGAACUGCCAACAGAUCCAGCUGGGUUUUCCAUUGUGUGGGUUACCUGCUCUGCCAUGCGGCACUGCGCAAACACCAGCGGUAGUAGAAUGGAGAUGGAAACAAGCCUGGGUGUUGGAAGUGCUUGUCAAGAUCGUGGUUGCAAUGCAAAGCCAGCCCAGGAGCAGCUGUCCCUCUGUUGCUUUCAUCUAGGGGAAAGCAGGGGAAGAAGAGGCUCUGGUCAGAAAAGGGUUUUCAACUUAACCUUAAAACAUGAUGGAGAAAACAACUGCAAAAACAAAUACUGAUUUAGAGUACGCGGAACAAUCUCACUCCAUAAGAACCCAUUCUCCACCCCGAGCAGCCAAGGACAAUGGCCAGUUCCUUACCAGUCUCCUUCUGCUCUGUCAUGUCACCUUUCAUCAUCUCCUUGGCUGCUCUUUCCUGAGUCUCAGCUUUUGUCCUUCUGCUACUUUGACUUUCCUGUCUUUUUACUGCCAUUCUUUAAUACUCCUUCACUCUACCAGAGGCUGCAGUUCUGAAUGCUCUCAUGUUGCUUAGCAGUAUUCUUCCUCCUUUCUCAGCAGCUUGGUUUUCUUAGAAAUAUUCCAUGUUUGCAGCCCUCGCUUGCUUGUCCUGAAUUCUGAUGUCUCCUAGUCUUUAUCCCCCAUAGCUAAACAACAGCCUAACUUACCGAGUUCACCCAAGUGAAUGUCUGUAGGCAUUACUAAGACUACUUGGACAGUACUGUUUUGGAAUUGGUUAUACUUCACAAGAUCCUCAUUGGCUUUGUAGUUGUUAGGAGACUUACAGCCUGCUUGUUGCUGCUUGUCUGCCCCAGACCAAACAUAUGCCGUGGGGCCAGCUGUGCUGCUCUAAAGGGCCAUCAGACAAAAUGCACUCGAAUUGCACAUUAUUCAGUCAAUCUAGUCAUUAUGCUCCUCUGAUGAAGAGUCUUGAAAAAAUUAAAUUAUAUGUGGAUUUCUCAGUCACCAGUAGUAUAGAAUGUGUUUGAAAAGGCAAGAGGGAAACAUGCAGUUUUAACCAGCCACUAAUCCCACUGCCUGGGGGAGUGCUGCAGCUUAGAGCAUCACAUUCCUUUUCUUGUCUGUUAGCUAAAUGAUAGAACAGAAUGGUUUGGUUUGGAAGGGAUCUUAAAGCCCACCCAGUUCCAACCCCCUCCUGUGGGCAGGGCUGCCACCCACCAGCUCAGGCUGCCCAGGGCCCAUCCUGUGUGGCUGUGAACUCCUCCAGGGAUGGGGCACCCACAGCUCUCCGGGCAGUCUAUGCCAGUGCCUCACUGCCCUCUCUGUAAAGAAUUUCCCCCUAACAUCUAGCCUAAAUCUCCCCUCUUCUAGUUUAAAAACAUAUAAAAAGUUCUGUUUGUAAGCUCACUUCAAGUGCUGGAAGGCACGGUAACAUCUCCCAGAGCCUUCCCUUCUCCAUGCUGAACAAGCAUUCCUUGGGGCAUUGGUUGACCUCUGAAGGUAUGAGGUGCUCCAAACCUGCUUGUGAAAGUUGUUAUUUCUUUCUUUCUUUCUUUUUUUUCCCCAGAGAAAAGAAAGAAGACCCUGGCCCUUCAGAAUGAUGCAUCUGCAACUGCAUCAUACAGAAAUUUACAGCCAUCUUCAAACACCGCCCAGCUUGCCUGCUGGGGCAUCUAUUUCAGUGCCGAAUAGAUGGUCAUUGCCAUAACAUCCAACACUGUGAUUGCUGCUGUGAUGGCCACUAUUAGUGCAAAUGGCAGUUUCAGGCCCAUUACACUGAGUGCAUUCAGGAGGGCCCAAAACCUGUGGAAAAUGUAUAAUUAAACUAUUUGGGAACACUUAGGCCAACUGAUACCAGAAUGAAUUAUGGUAUAUGCAGCUUGUUGUUCUUCUAAUGAGUAAUACAGUUACUGCUAUAAAGUAGCUGUUUUGAAUAAUUGUCUAAUUUUCAAAUGGAAAAAUAUAUUGAGAUAAUUACUUAAGUAGAGUCUAAAAAUAAAUUCUAAGUUCAUUAAGAAACAGCUUUAAAUUUGCUAAAUACUUUAGCUGGCCUUAUUAAAAUACAUUGCUUCAGAAAGUGAGAAAUUAUUCUUUUGUGGUGAGAUGAGAAAAGUAGCUUUAAUAACAAAAGUAUGUUUUAAAUUUAAAUAUGUAAGCAUUUCAAACCUUACAGCUUCAAAAGUGAAAAAGAUGAAUGGAUCAAACCCUGUCCCCAUUUCAGUUAAAGACAGUCUUGCCACUUAUUUCAGUCAAGUACGGGUGACACUCGAAGUGGUGAAUCUAACCUAUAAUUUCCCCACUGCUCUGUUUUACUGGGAGAUAAUACAUUUACCUCAUUCAGGCCUUUGUAUCUCUCAUUAGCUCUCAUCCAGGAACCCCAAGGAGUUUAAUGGUGGAACCUGAACAAUCAUGCAAAAUCCACUUCUGCUUAUAAUACCCAUGUAGGGAUGUCACCCCUCUCAAACUCUUUCCUAGUGAAACAAACCAGUGAGAUUCAAGACCUGAAAAGAAGAUUAUUGUAGCUUUUACAAAAAUCUUUACAAGUGGGUCAGUUACUUUACAGCUCUAAUAGUAUUCUUUUUUUCUUUCUCAUGUAAUUAUUAACCCAGUAGCAUAUUUUGAUUUAAGUUAAUCUUUGCUUUUGUAUAGCG
ensembl:lncRNA